rnacentral:rRNA from 1 species
UACAGAGGUCCCAAGCGUUGUUCGGAUUCACUGGGCGUAAAGGGUGCGUAGGUGGUGAGGUAAGUCGGAUGUGAAAGCUCGGAGCUCAACUCCGAAAUGGCAUUGGAAACUACCUUGCUCGAGGGUUGGAGGGGGGACUGGAAUGCUUGGUGUAGCAGUGAAAUGCGUAGAUAUCUGGAGGAACACCGGUGGCGAAGGCGGCGUUCUGGACUGCAACUGACACUGAGGAACGAAAGCCAGGGGAGCAAACGGG